AUGCUGUCACGGCAGCACUGUGUGGUUUCUCUACUGGUACUUUCAAUUCUAACAGGUGUCAGCUGUCAAGAACUCACUCCACUGAAGACAGAAGAGUCCAGUUUAGAAGGCAGCACUGUUACUCUGUCCUACAGAUACUCAAAAGGUGCUGCGGAUUAUUUCUUCUGGUAUCGACAAUAUUCAGGAAAACCACCAGAGUUCCUCGUCUCUCAUCUGGAAUCAGGAUCUCCAAUAGAAAAUCCAGUCUCUGGACUGUCUUUUAACGUCAGGAAGGAUAAAACCCAAACAGAUCUGCAGAUCUCCUCUGCUGCACACUGUGUGUUUUCUCUACUGUUUCUAUCCAUUAUAACAGGUGUCAGCUGUGCAGAUCUCACUCCAGUGAAGACAGAAGAGUCCAGUUUAGAAGGCAGCACUGUUACUCUGUCCUACAAAUACUCCAAACAAGCUGAUGGUGGUGAUUUUUUCUUCUGGUAUCGACAAUUUCCAGGAAACCCACCAGAGUUCCUCAUCUUUCACUUGGGGACAAAGAAUGAAACAAAGUCUGGACUGUCUGUUAGCGUGAGGAAGGAUAAAACCCAUCUGGAUCUGCAGAUCUCCUCUGCUGCAGUGACAGACUCUGCUGUGUACUACUGUGCUGUGAGGCCCACAGUG